UACAGGGGGUGCAAACGUUGCUCGGAAUCAUUGGGCGUAAAGCGCACGUAGGCGGCUUGGCAAGUGGAAGGUGAAAUCCCUCGGCUUAACCGAGGAACUGCCCUCCAAACUGCUUUGCUUGAGGCCGGGAGAGGCGAGUGGAAUUCCCAGUGUAGCGGUGAAAUGCGUAGAUAUUGGGAGGAACACCAGUGGCGAAGGCGGCUCGCUGGACCGGUUCUGACGCUGAGGCGCGAAAGCGUGGGGAGCAAACGGG
rnacentral:rRNA from 1 species